CCCACACGUGGAGUUAAUUAGGUGAUAAGAGCCAUCACCUGUCAGCAUCUCCUGUCCUGGAGUCCGGGUCUCCUCUGACACCGGAAAACAGUCCAUGGACUUGGGGGAGAACGUGCCUGGCAAGCAGUGGAGAGCUUUUCCCAAGGAAUUUUGGGCAAGAGCAAGCUUUAGACAGCAUCAGAAAAGAAACAUGGAAACAGCAUGCUUACGUAGAAGCUAGCCCCUUCCCACAGCCUUCUCUUGGGCAGGGUUUUCUCUCCAACCCUGAACUUCGCAUCCUCUCAACACAACCUUCGCUAACCGGUCCUUGUGAUCCUGGAUGACAAGCGUCCCUGUCUCCUGCCGCCUCCUCCACUCGCCCAGUUAUUUCUGUUUUGGGAGAAUAAACAACAACUCUUCUGG